rnacentral:lncRNA from 1 species
GCUCCACAUGUUCUAUUGGGAAAAGGCUCUACAGUAUUUUUAUGAGAUUUACUUUUGUCCUUCCCAAUUCAAGAAGGCAAAUCACUCACAAUCUUCCUUUCAUAGAUAAAUAAAGGGCAUAGGAAAAAGAGUAGGUCACCAAAGUUUGGGAAGGAAGUCAAUGGGAAACCAAGGUUUGCCUCCUCAGCUCUUGGGUUCUCAGCAGUCUCUUAAUUCAGGCUUCCCCUCCACCCUCAAAAAAGACCUCCAGAUCUCAUUAACUGGUUAUGCUAUUAUGAUGAUAUUAUUACUGCCGUGUCCACCUACCAGAGCUACCUUCUCUUCGGACAAAGAAUCCUCUACCACAGCCAGCUGUGGCUUUGGCCCUAACCUCAGCAGGGAACCCAAGUGACUGUUGGUCACCUUCUGCUUGGCUAGAGGCAGAUCUAGCAGCAAACGAUGCCUAUGUCUUAGCCUCCAUGUCCAAACACUGGGAUGUCAGUGCAAAGGUAAUUGUGGGGAAAACAAGACCAUUACUGAGAAGAAAGAGCAAGAGUUAGCAUCUGCCCCAGUCCUGGGAAGCAUUGGCCAGUUUCUCCAGAACUUACCCUCUCAUGGUAAGUUCACUGCAC